rnacentral:rRNA from 1 species
GGUCCUAUGGAUUGUAAACUGCUUUUAUACGAGAAGAAACACUGCUUCGUGAAGCAGCUUGACGGUAUCGUAAGAAUAAGGAUCGGCUAACUCCGUGCCAGCAGCCGCGGUAAUACGGAGGAUCCAAGCGUUAUCCGGAAUCAUUGGGUUUAAAGGGUCCGUAGGCGGUUUAAUAAGUCAGUGGUGAAAGCCCAUCGCUCAACGGUGGAACGGCCAUUGAUACUGUUAAACUUGAAUUAUUAGGAAGUAACUAGAAUAUGUAGUGUAGCGGUGAAAUGCUUAGAGAUUACAUGGAAUACCAAUUGCGAAGGCAGGUUACUACUAAUGGAUUGACGCUGAUGGACGAAAGCGUGGGUAGCGAACAGGAUUAGAUACCCUGGUAGUCCACGCCGUAAACGAUGGAUACUAGCUGUUGGAAGCAAUUUCAGUGGCUAAGCGAAAGUGAUAAGUA